rnacentral:rRNA from 1 species
AUUGAACGCUGGCGGCAUGCUUUACACAUGCGAGUCGAACGGCAGCACGGGCUUCGGCCUGGUGGCGAGUGGCGAACGGGUGAGUAAUAUAUCGGAACGUACCCAGAAGUGGGGGAUAACGUAGCGAAAGUUACGCUAAUACCGCAUACGAUCUAUGGAUGAAAGCAGGGGACCGCAAGGCCUUGUGCUCCUGGAGCGGCCGAUAUCUGAUUAGCUAGUUGGUGAGGUAAAGGCUCACCAAGGCGACGAUCAGUAGCUGGUCUGAGAGGACGACCAGCCACACUGGAACUGAGACACGGUCCAGACUCCUACGGGAGGCAGCAGUGGGGAAUUUUGGACAAUGGGCGCAAGCCUGAUCCAGCAAUGCCGCGUGAGUGAAGAAGGCCUUCGGGUUGUAAAGCUCUUUUGUCAGGGAAGAAACGGUAGAGGCUAAUAUCCUUUGCUAAUGACGGUACCUGAAGAAUAAGCACCGGCUAACUACGUG